rnacentral:lncRNA from 1 species
GCAUGUGGGCUUGGGCAGCUCUUCCCAUGAGACUGGCAGAAGCUGAAGACUGCUCCAAGGUCUUGUGACAGAUGUCCAGCUAGUUCUAGGUAGGUUUGUGCAGUAGCAGAUGGUAUGGGCUGGCAUUCAGACCGUCCCCUGUGUCCCUCCGUGAGCUACUACGUCCUUGGGUGUCUUUUUCAUCUUCAGACUGCAGACACAUGUGGAUACCUGCCCCCAUGUUUGUGGUUAGGCAGGGUCUAAACAGAACUUCUUUGUUAUGUUUAAUACCAAACUGUUAGACACUCAGGUGCUGUUGGCAGAGGUGUGCUGAAUGCAGGAACAAGAUGGUUUCCACCUGAGUGCCUGCCUGAAAUUUGCUGAAGGUUAUGUGGCUGUUUUCCUGCACCUGAGACAGUAAUUUACUUUUUCCCUGAGUAUGAUCUCACCAUGCAGUCAGAACUCAUAAUGCCUGCAUGCUGUUUUACAGUGCUAUAAUGAGAUAGUGAUGCUGAAGACAUGCAUUUCUUUUGUCAUUAUGAACCCUAUGCAUAAUAUCACCUAUAGAAAUAUUUUUCCAAUUAUAUGAACCUUGCUAACACAUUGUGAUUUUAAUGCUGCUUUCACGAUACAGAGGAGAAAAUUAAACAACAAAAGACAACUCCCACUGAGAAGUCAGCCCAAGCAAAGCCAGCAAAGCAUGAAGCAGUCAGACCUGAAAAAGACGUUCCCCUUACAAAACCUGAGCCAACAGCUGAAAUCCCAACAUCAGCCACAAAAAAACCAAAGACAACUAAGGAAAAAGAAGAAAAACCAACUGAGAAGAAACAGCUGAAAGAUGAAAAAACUAAAGUAAAAGAAGAUCCACGACAUCAAAACUUGACAUCAGCUCCUGUCCGCUACUUUCAAUGUGUCUUCCUAAAUGGACCUAAUGGAUUUGGCCUGCAAUUUCCUAUUAAUCCCCCUUCAAACAAGGAAGAAAAGACUCACUCAAAGACUUCCAAGAGAAAGACAAGGAAACCGGGGCAGUAGAGAGACUGAGUCCAAUGAUCACUGACAUUUUGCACUUUAUCUUUUCUGCUGAGGUCCACAGUAGCUACAGUGGUACUUGUCAUUGCAAGAAUGUGAUCCGCUUGCACACAUGUACCUGGAAAAGGUUUCCAUGGGGCAAUGGCAGAACAAGCAGUAAUGAACUGUGCUUAACAAAGGUAGAAAUGUAACAGUGCCCAGUUUCUCAUGGAAAGGCUGCAAUGCUAACAAAGCAUUGAUGUGACUGUGUGUGUGAGCAUGUGCGUGUGUUUCCAUGCCUCUUUUGCUCUUGUUUUACUUUACCUACAUGCUCAGCAUUGAAGUGAGUCUGUUUUCCAUUUAAUCUUAUCUAAGGAGUGAAAGGUUGAAUGUAGCUCUUAUAUCAGCAAGAUUGCAAGACUAGCUGCAAUCCUAAACCAUUUCUUCUUAACGUUCAAUCAAAUUUCUGACAGGAAAAUGCCUCACUAAGUCAUGAAAAUGUGCUCUGUGACUGGUGCUAUUUUUAUGUCUCAUUGACCAGUGUAGCCUGAAGCUCACACUUACUUGGAGCAGCUCAAUACACUAUCAGUAAGUUGACUCCACAAGUCAUGCUAAUGAUGAAUUUUCUAUUUAGUCUGAAACUGUAAAAGCAUGGACUGUUUGCCCUGCCUGUUGGUAAAAUACAAGUUCUUCUCUUCCUAAGGCCCAAAGUGAGAAGAGAAAGUGAAACCACAUGUCAAAGGCUAGGAAAAUCACUGUUUUACCAACAUGAAGGUCUGAAGAAACAAAUGAAAUAAUUAUAGUGCUUCCACUUUUCUUCUGCAGCUAAAUCAGAUUGUUUUGCAGCAAAAACCAUGUAAAUGGAUAACAUACCACCCAACAAUUUGCUAUUAGCUUAAGCCAGAUGAAAAGCUAGGAUGUGAGAUGCCAUUCACAAAACUAAAGCAACUCAAAUUUCCAGUAAUUAUGUGAAUUUAAUGCUAUCUCAGAUCAGUGAACAACAGCAAAAAACAAAACCCCAACAAAGAAAGAAUCAGAAGAAAAUGAAACAUAAACACAUGAAAUAACCCAGGUAUCUCAUUUUACUAGAUGAAAUGAAUGGACUUCCUCACAGCACAAUACUGUAAAUGGCUUACAGUAGAACUGAAAGUAGAUGUGCUUGUCCUCAACCUUCUUUUGUGCAUUUAUGUAGAAAUAAAGGAUCUGUUGCCCUAAAAAAGAGACA